UGGGGAAUCUUGCGCAAUGGGCGAAAGCCUGACGCAGCGACGCCGCGUGAGGGAAGAAGGCCUUCGGGUUGUAAACCUCUUUCAGCAGGGACGAAGCUACUCGGGUUAAUAGCCCAGAGGGUGACGGUACCUGCAGAAGAAGCCCCGGCUAACUACGUGCCAGCAGCCGCGGUAAUACGUAGGGGGCAAGCGUUGUCCGGAUUUACUGGGCGUAAAGAGCGUGUAGGCGGCCAAGCAGGUCUGUUGUGAAAACUGGAGGCUCAACCUCCAGACGUCGACAGAAACCGCUCGGCUAGAGUCCGGAAGAGGAGAGUGGAAUUCCUGGUGUAGCGGUGAAAUGCGCAGAUAUCAGGAAGAACACCAAUGGCGAAGGCAGCUCUCUGGGACGGUACUGACGCUGAGACGCGAAAGCGUGGGGAGCGAACAGGAUUAGAUACCCUGGUAGUCCACGCCGUAAACGAUGGGUGCUAGGUGUGGGGGGUGUCGACUCCCUCCGUGCCGCAGCUAACGCAUUAAGCACCCCGCCUGGGGAGUACGGCCGCAAGGCUA
rnacentral:rRNA from 1 species